rnacentral:lncRNA from 1 species
ACACACACACACACACACACACACACACACACACACACACACACACACACACAGGUCCUAGUGGAAUGUGUGGUGUGAGUGGCAUCAGUGUUGCUCUGCUCUCUGGUCCAUAUUCCACAGUGAGAUGGCUUUUCUCCUGGAGGCUCCUCAGCUCUCUGGUCCUCUCAUGUCUCCCUGAUGGCAUUUUUUCCUCUGUCUCUCUCCAGUCUCUCUCCAGCUGCUGUCUCUCUCCAGUCUCUCUCCAGUCUCUCUCCAGUCUCUCUCCAGUCUCUCUCCAGUCUCUCUCCAGACUCUCUCCAGUCUCUCUCCAGUCUCUCUCCAGUCUCUCUCCAGUCUCUCUCCAGCUGCUGUCUCUCUCCAGUCUCUCUCCAGUCUCUCUCCAGUCUCUCUCCAGUCUCUCUCCAGCUGCUGUCUCUCUCCAGUCUCUCUCCAGUCUCUCUCCAGUCUCUCUCCAGUCUCUCUCCAGUCUCUCUCCAGACUCUCUCCAGUCUCUCUCCAGUCUCUCUCCAGUCUCUCUCCAGUCUCUCUCCAGCUGCUGUCUCUCUCCAGUCUCUCUCAUCUCUCUCCAGUCUCUCUCCAGUCUCUCUCCAUUCUCUCUCCACUCUCUCCUCAGUCUCUCUCCAGUCUCUCUCCAGUCUCUCUCCAGUCUCUCUCCA